UACGGAGGGUGCAAGCGUUAAUCGGAAUUACUGGGCGUAAAGCGUGCGCAGGCGGUUUGUUAAGUCUGCUGUGAAAUCCCCGAGCUCAACCUGGGAAUUGCAUUUGAGACUGCUCUGCUCGGGUGCGGAAGAGGGAAGCGGAAUUUCCGGUGUAGCGGUGAAAUGCGUAGAUAUCGGAAGGAACAUCAGUGGCGAAGGCGACUUUCUGGACAGAUACUGACACUGAGGCACGAAAGCAUGGGGAGCAAACAGG
rnacentral:rRNA from 1 species